UACGAAGGGGGCGAGCGUUGUUCGGAUUUACUGGGCGUAAAGGGCGCGCAGGCGGCAGACCAAGUCAGGCGUGAAAGCCCCGGGCUUAACCUGGGAACUGCGUCUGGGACUGGUUUGCUAGAGAUCGGGAGAGGAGAGUGGAAUUCCCAGUGUAGAGGUGAAAUUCGUAGAUAUCAGGAGGAACACCGGUGGCGAAAGCGGCGACCUGGCCCGAUACUGACGCUCAUGGACGAAAGCGUGGGGAGCAAACAGG
rnacentral:rRNA from 1 species